rnacentral:lncRNA from 1 species
GGGCGGACUUUCCCCUGGGGACGCUCGGGCUUGCCAGCCGGGUCGCUGCGCCCCAGCCCGGAAGAUUGGGGGACGGGGAGGGCGUGGCUCGGAGCAAAGUAAAGUUGAAAUACAAAACUGAAAAUGGAGUGUAACGCGCGUGGAAGCCUGUGUAAACCGAGCCGUGUGCGCGCGAAUCCGGGCUAGGGGUGUCAGGUCUGGCGAAUAAAAAUAGUGGACGAAUAAAAAACCAGCUUCCUGGUUUUGCUGUUGGCGCAAGAGCAAAGUGGUUCAAGAUUUGAAGUUUGCAAGAGGCAUGGGUGUGAGGGGACUUCUCUACACGUUCCUCUGCAGCUUCCUCAUGUAUCAUUUUACUGUCACGAGCAUGCAGACCUCAGGACACACAUAAAUGAUUCCAUGAGAAAGAAAAACUGGGAGAUCUGGAAACCAGCUUUUAGAAAAUGAUGGAUUGGGUUAGAGCUCUCUUAAGUCCCUGCUAGAAGAAAGUGGUGACUCUGUUGUUUAUGCCACUUUCUAGGAGAAAGGUAAGAUAACAUUUAUCACGUCUUAUCCACAAGCCCCAGUGUUUCAUGGCUGACUAACGGUAGUCGGUCAUCAAUACUUAUCAGUAUUAGGGUAUUGAUGACUCACAAGGAGGGAAACUUGAGUACUCCCAAAGGACCUUAGGAAGAUGUGAUGAAAGAAAAAACGCAUACCCUGACCUUGGAGAGAAACGUCUGCCUCUGGAAUUCUUCCCUCUAAGAUGACUUACCACUGGGUCAUCCCAUCAAGGGGCGCAUCAGAACUUGAGCAAGGGAAGUUAAAGUAUAUCUGGGAGGAUGGGAGUGAGACAGGGAUCCUAAAGUUCUAGAAAAUAAGAUUUGUCAUGAGACCGGACGUAGGCAGGAUUUUGGAAUCGUUUGGUUAUCGGAGAGGAGAGAAGGAGAUUGAGAAAUGGAUUGCACUGCAGUCUGGAAGGCAUCCGUAAGGCUUGUGACUUUUUAAACAGUUGGAGAGAACAGAGCUAGACCCAAUCGAUGUCUUGCAGACAACUGCUUAGUGACUUAAAUUUAAAGAAAAAGUAGAUACCCUGGGUUUCUUCUUGGCUCCUUAUGUGAAAAUGAACUCUCAAUGUGUAAAAACGUAUGCUUAAAAAUGUGUACCCCCGUAACAUGCUGAAACAAACAAAAAAAAAUUAAGGAAAAAAAGAGUUGAGAAAGAUGUGUCGCUAAUGAGAGAAAAAAAUGGAACCAUAAUAUAUUAGAAUAAAUAUAUGGACUUUAAAGAUAUAAUAAUAAAUAUAUUUAUAGUAUAAGAUUGC